UACAGAGGGUGCAAGCGUUAAUCGGAUUUACUGGGCGUAAAGCGUGUGUAGGUGGCUCGCUAAGUCGGUUGUGAAAUCCCUGGGCUCAACCUGGGAAUUGCAGUCGAUACUGAUGAGCUCGAGUUCGGUAGAGGGUGACGGAAUUCUCGGUGUAGAGGUGAAAUUCGUAGAUAUCGAGAGGAACACCGGUGGCGAAGGCGGCCUUCUGGACAGUGACUGACGCUGAGACGCGAAAGCGUGGGGAGCAAACAGG
rnacentral:rRNA from 1 species